AACGAACGCUGGCGGCAGGCCUAACACAUGCCAGUCGAGCGGACCCUUCGGGGUUAGCGGCGGACGGGUGAGUAACGCGUGGGAACGUGCCCUUUGCUUCGGAAUAGCCCUGGGAAACUGGGAGUAAUACCGGAUACGCCCUUUUGGGGAAAGAUUUAUCGGCGAAGGAUCGGCCCGCGUUGGAUUAGGUAGUUGGUGGGGUAAUGGCCUACCAAGCCGACGAUCCAUAGCUGGUUUGAGAGGAUGAUCAGCCACACUGGGACUGAGACACGGCCCAGACUCCUACGGGAGGCAGCAGUGGGGAAUCUUAGACAAUGGGGGAAACCCUGAGCGAGCCAUGCCGCGUGAGCGAUGAAGGCCUUAGGGUUGUAAAGCUCUUUCACCGGGGAAGAUAAUGACGGUACCCGGAGAAGAAGCCCCGGCUAACUCCGUG
rnacentral:rRNA from 1 species